ACAGCGGGAAGCCAGGCGGUGACGCCGAGCGGAACCCGAAAGCCCCUCUCAGUUCGGAUCGGAGUCUGCAACCCGACUCCGUGAAGCUGGAUUCGCUAGUAAUCGCGCAUCAGCCAUGGCGCGGUGAAUACGUUCCCGGGCCUUGUACACACCGCCCGUCAAGCCAUGGGAGCCGGGAGCGCUUGAAGUGCGUCGCCGCGAGGCGCGCCCUAGAGCGAGACCGGUGACUGGGGCUAAGUCGUAACAAGGUAGC
rnacentral:rRNA from 1 species